UUGACCUCAAAUCGAGUAGGACCACCCGCUGAACUUAAGCAUAUCAAUAAGCGGAGGAAAAGAAACUAACAAGGAUUCCCCUAGUAACGGCGAGUGAAGAGGGAAGAGCUCAAAUUUUGAAUCUGGCGUCUCUGGCGUCCGAAUUGUAAUCUAGAGAAGUGUUUUCCGUGACGGACCGUGCAUAAGUCUCCUGGAAUGGAGCGUCAUAGAGGGUGAGAAUCCCGUAUAUGGCAUGGACUCCCGUUGCUCUGUGAUACACUCUCGACGAGUCGAGUUGUUUGGGGAAUGCAGCUCUAAAUGGGGUGGUAAAUGCCAUCUAAAGCUAAAUAUUGGCGAGAGACCGAUAGCGAACAAGUACCGUGAGGGAAAGAUGAAAAGCACUUUGGAAAGAGAGUGAAACAGUACGUGAAAUUGUUGAAAGGGA
rnacentral:rRNA from 1 species